rnacentral:lncRNA from 1 species
GGAGGUGGUGUACCUGUUCCUCGAGAGGAUUGAUGAUUCCAAACUCUUGGAUAUGCUAAAAAGCAAAAGGUGGUGUGCCUUUUGUGCUAAGUUCACUGGGGAGCUUUGUUACGAGGGCAGCUGCUAAUAAGCAAAAGGGAAAAAUGAUGAUAAAACAGGAGGGAUCCUUAAUUUGACCACAGCGAGGGGGUCCCACUAUCAGAAGUUAGGUGGUGUGCCUUCAGUAAUCAUUUAAGCCAAUAUGGAGAUCAUACUCUGUUUCUCAUGGUAAAGAUAGCAGAACGAUUGAUAAACAUCUAUUCAGUAAUACAUCACUGAAAAUCCCUGGACAUCGAAACAAAUUUGAACUAUUAGUAGACACUUAAUAUCUAACAUGGUCUCCAACUCCAGCUAUA